AAUUGUGUUUUUUUGUCGCAAAAAAUUUGCCUUUCCGUGCACCAAAAGUUGCACGCAAGCAACCCCCCUCGUUAAAAACCCCUCGUUCGUCGACACAGCACAGAUCGACGAAAAAAGCUUUGACGGCGCACCAGUCAAAGUGACAGCUGUCGGCGAACUCAAAACGAGCUGCUCACAGCAGCACAUCAAAUUCCGGUCUUUUUGAUCGUCGUCUGCUGAACGGUGCGCACGCACCUGCGGUUUUGCUGCUCGUCGGCCGACGCCAAGUGCCGCACAAAUUAUCAACCUCGGCCAACGACGCCGCCGGAAAAAAAAGGCCCCAGAAGGGGCCUUUUAUUUGCAGCGAUCUAAACCCGGGCAAAUGCCACGCCGAACGGAGAACAACAAAAUGGCCGAUUCACGAGGCGUCAUCAGAAAAGGGCAUCCACGCCUGCUGCGAUCGGGGAAGUGCUUCGCCAGCGACCGGGUCGGGCACGCAAGAGUCCGCGCAAGGACGGAGCGGCCUGGACGUUCGUCCAUUCUCACAUACCGAAGGCGGUCAGCGGUGGCGGAGCGGAUUGGCCCAGAUGCCGCGAGGAAGCGGAAAAGAAGAAAAGCGGUGCUUGUGAGGGAAAGUGUUGGCUGGUCGGGUCGAAGUGAAGAAUUCCGCGUGGGCGCGGGCAAAAGGCGACACGCCACGCGGCGUUUGGCGAUCAGAGGGUGAACCAGUGCAAGGUUAUGCGGAGGAGGAGAAGAGAGAGGAGCGGGGGAAGGAAAAAAAAAAGAUGGAGGAAGGAAAAGAAGGAAAAGUGCAAUAAGCCGGAAAGGCGCGUGAAGCGCGGGAAAAGGAAGAAGAAUGAAGGGAAAGUGACGGGAAGAGGAUGAGGAAGUUUUUGUAAGCGCACACACACACACUAACACAAUCAAACGAUUCAAUACACAUGCUGAAACAUAAA